UCGGAAAUGGCCGGUUGUAAUAAAGACGGAAAUCAACGGUGGAAAGUGCAAAGAUUUGUAUCGGAAAGUGAUGGCACUGGUUCUAAUGGAGGUGGAAAAAACGCUCCAGGCGGCAGCUCGAGCAUAAAAAAAGCGGCAGUAAAAGUUAACCCGUGCCUUCGGUACCUCCAUUUAGGAUGAAGGACAACAGCGCGUUCCAAUGUGGUAGUCUGGAGUUUGGACGAGUCACCUUUGCCGGAUGAGCAACUUUCCAUCGCAUCCUUGAUUGCAUCGCAUUCUGAUCCCAACUUCAAGGAUAGCAAUGGGCUCGUGGCCGGAAUAGCAAAUACAUGGAGGACAACACAUGCGGAAAUGAAUCAAUUUUGGACGAAGGGAAAAGGCAUGCCAUAAUUUUAUAUACCGGGCGGUGCUGUUCCCGAGCAAUCCUCAGUAAAAAUCUAGCAACCAUCCUCAGCGGAACCCUCGAGAAAAUCGCCGACCACGAAGAGCUCCUUUCGGAUGGGGUUCAAAAAUUUGCAAUCAUCAACAAGCUGGAACCAAAAGAAAAAAUUCCGACUGGGCAGAAUCGAUCGUAACUUUGAAAACCCGGAAACGGUGCCGUUGUUUAGAAAUAUGUAAAUAGUCCCGUUCCUAGCAAGUGGCUGCCCAGCUCCCAAGCGAUUGUUCCUCAUGCGUCAUAUUUUUGGCCGUCUGUCCAGGGAAAGUUUUCGAAGGGCUCGACUGUGCGGACCUGAAUGGCAGAGCUGGGAUUGUUAAGGA